rnacentral:rRNA from 1 species
GACGAACGCUGGCGGCGUGCUUAACACAUGCAAGUCGAACGGAAAGGCCCUGCUUUUGUGGGGUGCUCGAGUGGCGAACGGGUGAGUAACACGUGAGUAACCUGCCCUUGACUUUGGGAUAACUUCAGGAAACUGGGGCUAAUACCGGAUAGGAGCUCCUGCUGCAUGGUGGGGGUUGGAAAGUUUCGGCGGUUGGGGAUGGACUCGCGGCUUAUCAGCUUGUUGGUGGGGUAGUGGCUUACCAAGGCUUUGACGGGUAGCCGGCCUGAGAGGGUGACCGGCCACAUUGGGACUGAGAUACGGCCCAGACUCCUACGGGAGGCAGCAGUGGGGAAUAUUGCACAAUGGGCGGAAGCCUGAUGCAGAAACGCCGCGUGCGGGAUGACGGCCUUCGGGUUGUGAACCGCUUUCGCCUGUGACGAAGCGUGAGUGACGGUAAUGGGUAAAGAAGCACCGGCUAACUACGUG